AUGGCUACCUCAGCUUUGACACGGUGUGUUCUGUUUGUCUUGGCCAGGUUUGAGACCUCGCCAGAGACCCGGAUACAGGCGGAGGAGAGGCGGUACUACCCCGGAGGCAGAGCGCUGCAGCACCACCCCAGACUGAACACCUACACCCUGACUGUGGACACGGUUGCAGGGAAACGUCCGCCCAGCCUCAAGGGAGAGGUGGAGGAGCUACAGAAACUGAUACAGCGGUACACAGACCGCGGGGGAGAUGUUGUGUUCCAGAAGUUGUCGGCAGACGAGCUGAACACCCCCACAGUAGGAUCCAGCGACCUCAGCAACCUGUCAGCACACACUGCUUCACGCCCCCCCCACUGCCAUGCCUGCCUCCCGGGAGGGGCGGGGCCUUUUCCGAACGGCCAGCAAGAGGAAGGGGAGGCGUGCUCUGCUCAGACGGCUGUAGAGGACUGUGGGAAGGCGUCUGAUAAAAGAAGCGAAGCCGCAGCCCAGCAGCCGAGGGAGGGCGAGGCUUUAGCUUUCAGCGCACCAUCCUGUGGAAAUCAGCCGGAGGAAGCUGAUAGAGAGAGGACAGGCUUAAUCACCGCCAGGCAGGGCGGCAAGGCAGGUCGCCGUAAAAGAAACAAAGCGGAGAGAGAGAAGAGGAGGGCAGAGACGUUCGCCGCUGCCCUGGCUUCAUCGGCCAUGGGCCAGACACAGUCCCAGGAGAGCCAGGAACACCCGGAAGACGGGCAGGAAGACAGGCAGGAACCCCAGCGGGCCGGGGAGAGGACUGCUAACAGCGGUGACAUGGGGGCUCAGGAAACCGCACACAGGCAGGGAGAGCCUGAGAUCAUCCAGGAGACCCCUGUGGAAAACGGCAAGUUGGGGUACGCCGAGGCGGCCACUGAAUGUGCCCUUCAGACGACGACGGGAGCCAAGAGCUGCCACGGGGCGCACGCUACGGAGUCACAGGACUCGGAACAAAGACAGGAAACUGCUGCAGCCGUGACAAGUUAUUCUGAGGAGCACGAGUGGGGCUUUAGCUGCCGCCAGACCCCUGGGGCCGAGGAGGAGGGAGGCGGGGACGGGGGCGGUGCUGACGACACUGAGACAGAGGCAGGAAACCCCAGCCAACCGACCAACGGAUUCAGCCCUGAGUCAACCAGCAGCAGGAGCGGAGGCGCCCAGACAACCGACGCAAGCCGAAGCCCCAGCAUGGCGGAGGGAGACAGCGAGAGCGGAUGUUUCCGACAACCUGAUAGAGUUCCGUCACCACAACCGAGUGAGCCGGUCCCGGGCUCGGAGCCGCAGGACACAGCGGAGAUAGCGGCACCACCACAAAGUAGGCCGGACCCGGACGGCGCCCGAGACCGGGGAGGGCAGGAACGCGACGAACAGACGUCCGCCGACAUUUCCUUGGCCGAGGAGGAGAAGGAGCUCGUCCAGGCAGUUGAUCCGUCUGAAGAGAGCGCUGUGGGAGGACAGGAGACGCCCAGGAUAAAUAAGCUCUCCGUUCAGUGGGCGUCGCUGGAGGAGACAGACUCCCUGGCUCACAGGGAAGAGAUAGCAGCCACGGCAAUAGCAGUAGUGGCCAUAGCCAUCGCAGCUGCUGUCGCAAAUGUAGAACAAUGCAACGCCACGCUGGAGGAGAGCCAGGCCUUGGAGACUGCCAGGAGCCAGCCUCUGACCGGACCCCAAGACACUGCGCCAAUGGCUGGGGUCACAGUCUCUGAGGCCACCCUCGCCACCUCAGACGAAAGUCCAACCUUCACUCCCGAGGAUUCGGAGAACCCCUCAAAGGGAGAGGCAGAGCCUAACCUCAGACAACACGAGGAGAACGGCGACCAGGCUAGUGAGAGGCCUGAAAGUGGACCGGGAUUGGAGGCCGGUCCGGCAGGACUGAGUACACCCCAGGGAGACUCCCAGUCUGACACACUGUUUCAUCAUGAAAGGGCCGCAGACACACUUGGCGAUGAGGUCAUCACUUCCCCCUGUCCCUCCCCAGAGUGGUCUUCAGAGCUGACACAACAGGAGAUUUUUCCUUCAGACAUAGGAGUGACCCUUGGAACCCAGACACACCCAGACGGUGGUUGGUCGCGGAGUCCAGAGACGACUUCCCUGUCAGACCUAGACAGUGGAACAUGCCUGGGUGAUGAGCAGCACAGCUCCUCAGUGGAAGUAGACAGUGGAGAGUCCCUGGCCAUACAGCCCUCAGACACACUGGAUAUGCUGGAUGCAGGGAACGAGGGAACGAUGGAUACUGAAGGAGACAGUACAAAAGAUUUGAGGCCAGCUCUUGACGAGUGUCCGACAGCCCAAGACACAGACUGCAGAGCUCAUGAACAGGAGGAGGAGGAGAUGAAACCCCUCUCAGACAUGGCAGACGAGACGCUGAUCCACACAGAGAAGGAGACAUUCUACCCGGUCCAGCCCUGCUCAGAGCCCACAAUACAGGAAACAUCCACCAUCCCAGAAUGCACAGGUGAAAACAAACCGUCCUAAUAUGAUGACGUGCGUAACACGUACUCUCACGUACAGAGUGAGGAUACCUUUGUUUUUUGUCUUUGCUUAUGCAUUUUCAUGUAUGUGCUUCCAUUGAGCAUUUCCAGGCAUGACACAUGACAGUGAUUAGUCUAUCUCUGCCAGGAAAGGAGCAGAAGAUAAGGAAGUUGUCAGGGGUUCUCAGGUCCUUGUUUAGAUCACAAAGGAGCACCUGCCAGUUUGUAAUUUGAUUUCUGGAGGGUCUCAAUUGGAAAGGCCAGGCUGUAACUUGAUUGCAGAGUAUUUUGAUUUAGACAAGAAAGCAGAGCUCUGUGAGAGGAGAGGGAGAAGCUUAACCCCGUAAGGUCAUGGAUACUCUGUGAGAGGACAGGGAGAAGCUUAACCCCAUAAGGUCAUGGAUACUCUGUGAGAGGACAGGGAGAAGCUUAACCCUGUAAGGUCAUGGAUACUCUGUGAGAGGACAGGGAGAAGCUUAACCCCGUAAGGUCAUGGAUACUCUGUGAGAGGACAGGGAGAAGCUUAACCCCGUAAGGUCAUGGAUACUCUGUGAGAGGACAGGGAGAAGCUUAACCCCGUAAGGUCAUGGAUACUCUGUGAGAGGAGGGGGAUACAGAUGAGAUGGGGAUGGAUGGUAGGAUGGAUGGUAGGAUGGAUGGUAGGAUGGAUGGAUGGAAGGCCCUGUUUUCUAUGAAUAUCCAUCACAGAUUCACCAUGUGUCUGUACACGGUACUGUCUGGAGCCAAUUCUUUUACCUCAUGAACUAUUAUUACUGCUUAUAGUCACAGAGUGUUUUAUUCACAGACCUGUUGGCAGGGUUGUAGAACACACAGCUCACGUAGCGAACCUCAGGUUUGAUUGUCUGACGAUAGCAUGUUGGAUUUACGCUACUGUUCACAUCUCUGUGCGGAUCUGUUCAUACAUUUCACAGCAGGGUUCCUGAAUCUCUGCAUUUUGUGCUUCUGAUGUACUCUUCCUUUGACAUAAAGCCGGUCUCAGUCUCACCGUUACACCGUUACAUGUUGCUAUGCAGUGACAUAACAGUGACAAAACAACAACCCACUCGUACAGUAUGUUCAUAUAAAAAGAACAUCCUGCGCCAGUAGAUUGCAGCAAGCAACUCUUUCUCUGCAGCACGUUUUUCUUCAUAAUCAUGUGCCUACCCUGGCCCAGACCCUGAAGAUAUUUCUCACUGUUGCUUUUCUCCGUCUUCAAAUGGAAAAAUCAAAUUCUAUUUUAAAAUUUUAAAGCAAUGUCUGACUUUCUCUACUCGUUCUCUACUAUCUUUCCCACUCCUUGUAUUUAUCUCUCGGACUUGCCCUCUCUUUCUUUCGCUUCCUCUCUCUCCCAGAAUGCCCAGAGAACCCAUGCUCCGACAGUGUUGGAGGGUCAGUGUGUGGAGGCCUGCCAGACUCAGUCAGUGAUGCCGACAGUCUGAUCAGUGCAGAGCUGGGAGAGGACAGCGUCUUCAGAAAGGUGAGAUCAGCUUUAUAGGCACAACAGUGCCAAAGGAGAACAUUCUAUUUCGAGUCGCUCAUCCUACAGAACAAACUGUUCCUUUAUGUGCCAUGUUUUCAGUGAUGUAGUUCCAUGUAAUUCCCAGCUAGUUUUCCUUAAUGUGAGUCGAUCCCUUCAGACCUCAGC
rnacentral:lncRNA from 1 species